GUUGAUUGGGUUGCUGUGGUAAGCGCCGUAGAAGGCGAAGUGCUUCUCGAGAUCGAGCAAUCCCAUCAUGCAAAGAGAGAUUUUUGAUUUCGUUGAGAGAGAGAGAGAGAGAUGUUGAUAAUGUGUUAGGGGGGGGGAUUGAAAUAGUAUCGUCACCUUCGCUUAAGCAGGAAGAUUUACAGAGAGACACGGGAAGAAGACGAUAAAGAGAGUUGAUUGUCCACACGGGGGGGGGGGGAAAGACCGAACCGGAAAGUUUGAUUUUGACUGGACGAACGUUGUUCUGUCAUUGCUAACCUGCGCAGAUGGGAUGUAACUGAUAAUACAUGGGAUGUAUACAAAAGUGGAUGGUUUAGUUAGGUGGAUAUAUCUUUACCAAUUUAAGGCAAUGCCCGUUACUCGUUAUCUCUUGUAUUGUAGCCUAAGCAGAUUUCUUAAACAUUUUUUUUUCGUUAUAUAAAUGAUGUAAUGAUUUGAAGGAAUAUGAAGGUUUGUCUUAAGCUUCUGGGCCUCUUUGGGCUGCGUUUUAUUGAAA